rnacentral:tRNA from 1 species
UCUUCCUUAGGAUAAAGUUUCAAUCCACUACUUUUAGGAGGUAGUAAUAUGUUAGGAUUUAGGAAGAA